GCGGGCAAAACGAGCGAUUAUGAACUGAUUGGAGUCAGAAGUUCAGCAGAUGGUUUACCCAUUAAAAAAGCAAGGUUCUCAAGGAGGACCAACUUCCCUGCAGCACGGCAUCUUGAUAAUCUGUCUCUAAUGUGGCACCAGCCCAUUGGCUAUUUACUCCUCAUCUUGCCAAAGUUAUUCAGCAACACAUCUGUCACCGAGUCUUCUUAUUAAAGAGGACAUUUGGAUCCUCAAGUCUGAACUUGCAAGGAGAGGAUGCAAGACUGAACUGUGUUUAGGCUACUUAAUAUUGAAGAAAAAGAUUGUGGAAAAGUCACACCAGCAGACUGAAAAGGCAACUGUCUGCAGCCACGCCUUUGUUUUCAGAUGUCUCAGUUUUCCCCCCAUCCACACUGAUACGGAGCAACAGCAUUUUAAAAUAAAAAUGGCCUCUUUAGCAUU
rnacentral:lncRNA from 1 species